AAGUAAUGCAUGUUUGUCUUCAGCUUGUGUCAUGUAAGGUGUUGGGUUAAGUUAUACACUAAGCACAAUCCUCGUUUUUAUUUGUCAUCGUUGAGUUUGAAGUCCUGAACUAACUAUUAAUGAUAGGUCGAAGGAAGAUGGGGAUGACGUCAAAUCAUCAAUUCCU
rnacentral:rRNA from 1 species